rnacentral:rRNA from 1 species
UGGGGAAUUUUGGACAAUGGGCGAAAGCCUGAUCCAGCAAUGCCGCGUGUGUGAAGAAGGCCUUCGGGUUGUAAAGCACUUUUGUCCGGAAAGAAAUCCUUGGCUCUAAUACAGUCGGGGGAUGACGGUACCGGAAGAAUAAGCACCGGCUAACUACGUGCCAGCAGCCGCGGUAAUACGUAGGGUGCAAGCGUUAAUCGGAAUUACUGGGCGUAAAGCGUGCGCAGGCGGUUUGCUAAGACCGAUGUGAAAUCCCCGGGCUCAACCUGGGAACUGCAUUGGUGACUGGCAGGCUAGAGUAUGGCAGAGGGGGGUAGAAUUCCACGUGUAGCAGUGAAAUGCGUAGAGAUGUGGAGGAAUACCGAUGGUGAAGGCAGCCCCCUGGGCCAAUACUGACGCUCAUGCACGAAAGCGUGGGGAGCAAACAGGAUUAGAUACCCUGGUAGUCCACGCCCUAAACGAUGUCAACUAGUUGUUGGGGAUUCAUUUCCUUAGUAACGUAGCUAACGCGUGAAGUUGACCGCCUGGGGAGUACGGUCGCAAGAUUAAAACUCAAAUGAAUUGACGGGG